rnacentral:lncRNA from 1 species
GUGGGAGAGAUUAAGCUGAAGGGAGGUCUUGUGGUAAGGGGUGAUAUUGUGGGGAUGUUAGAAGAAAUGUUUGUCGUAUAGAAUGAUUGGCGAUGGCCUGGAUACGGUUUUGGAUGAAUUGAGAAACUGGAAUAAGAGAAGGAGAAAAACAGGUAUAAAAGGUCUAAGAAUUGGGACGACUCAGGAUAUCUGAUUAGAGAGUGCCUAAGGAGAUUCAGCAUAGUCCUGCCAGCAAAGAUUAUUUAUUUACUUCAAGAGUUAAGAGUGGCAGUUUGGGGAUAGCACCAGGAGAUAUCAGCUGUGACGGCUUGGAAAAACAGUGUAAACCGGCAGUGUAAACAAGAGCAGGGCACGUAUGAGUAGUUGAGAACGGUGACUAGGAGUAUGACUAGACAGAAGAUAGUAGGGAUGACAAUUUUUUUGGAGCACCGUCCAAGUUGGUCUGGUGUCUGGAAUGAGACUGGGACCUAAUAAAAAGGAGCGUCUAUACAGGAGCUCAAAUGGGCUGUACCCCGUAGCAUUCCGAGGACAGGCCUGAAUUCUGAGAAGGGAAAGUGGUAAAAGUAUUGUCCAGUCCUUUUUAAGUUGGUGGCUGAGCUUGGUGAGGUGUGUUUUUAAAAGACCUUUAGUCUAUUCUACUUUUCUUGAAGACGGAGGACCGUAAGGGAUAUAAAGGUUUCACUGAAUACUAAGAGCCUGAAAUACUGCUUGGCUGAUUUGACUAAUAAAGGCUCGUCUGUUAUCAGACUGUAUUGAGGUGGGAAGGCUAAACUGAGGAAUUAUGUCUGACAGAAGGGAAGAAAUGACUGGAGUGGCCUUCUCAGACCCUGUAGGAAAGGCCUCUACCUAUCCAGUGAAAGUAUCUACCCAGACUAAGAGGUAUUUUAGUUAUCUUACUUGGGGCAUGUUGAGUAAAGCUAAUUUGCCAGUCCUGGGUGGGGCAAAUCCUCGAGCUUGAUGUGUAGGGAAGGGAGGGGGCCUGAAGAAUCCCUGAGGAGUAGUAGAAUAGCAGAUGGAACACUGAGAAGUUAUUUCCUUGAGGAUAGAUUUCCACGAUGGAAAGGAAAUGAGAGGUUCUAAGAGGCGGGCUAGUGGCUUGUACUAUAGCAUAACCUGCCUUUGCUGGUGUGUGGCGAUUAGGCCUGGUGGAACCGCCAUCAAUAAAUCAAGCGUGAUCACGGUGAGGAACAGGAAAGAAGGAAAUCUGGGGAAAUGGGGUGAAUGUCAGGUGGAUCAGAGAGAUACAGUCAUGGGGGUCAGGUGUGGUAUCAGGAAUAAUGUGGGAGGCCGGAUUGAAGUCUGGGCCAGGAACAUCGGUAAUUGUGGGAGACUCAACAAAGAGUGAGUACAGCUGAAGGAGCCGGGAAGCAGAAAGUAUAUGCGUCAGGUAUGAGGAAGAAAAUAGAUUUUGGAAGUUAUGAGAACUGUACAGAGUGAGUUGAGCAUAGUUUGUGAUUUUGAGGGCCUCUAAAAGUAUUAAUGCAGCGGCAGCCACUGCACGCAGACAUGAGGGCUAGGCUAAAACAGUAAGGUCAAGUUGUUUGGACAGAAAGGCUACAGGGUGUGGUCCUGGCUCUUGUGUAAGAAUUCUGACCACGCUAACCAUGCCUAGGAAGGAAAGGAGUUGUUUUGUAGAAGGUGCUGGGGUUUGAGAGAUCAGUUGGACACGAUUGGCAGGGAGAGCACGUGUGUUUUUAUGAGAAUUAUGCCGAGAUAGGUAACAGAUGAGGAAGAAAUUUGGACUUGAUUGAAGUAAUGGGGGCUGUCUGUGAAGCUUUGCAGCAGUAUAGCCUAGGUAAUUUGCUGAGCUUGAUGGGUGUCAGGGUCAGUCCAAGUGAAAGUGAGGAGAGGCUGGGAUUAAGGGUGCAAAGGAAUAGUAAAGAAAGCAUGUUUGAGAUCUAGAACAGAAUAAUGGAUUAUAGAGGCAGGUAUUGAGGAUAGGAGAGUAUAUGGGUUUGGCACCACAGGGUGCCAAAGGUGGGAUAGGCAAAACAAUUUGGUUGAUAAGGUGCAGAUCCUGAACUAGCUUGUAAGGCUUGUCUGGUUUUAGGACAAGUAAAAUGGGGGAAUUAUAAGGAGAGUUUAUAGGCUUUAAAAGGCCAUGCUGUAGCAGGCGAGUGAUAACAGGCUUUAAUCUUUUUAAAGCGUGCUGCGGGAUGGGAUAUUGGCGUUGAGUGGGGUAAGGGUGAUUAGGUUUUAAUGAGAUGGUAAGGGGUGCAUGAUCGGUCGCCAAGGAGGGAGUAGAAGUAUCUUAUACUUGUGGGUUAAGGUGGGGGGAUACAAGAGGAGGAUGCAAAGGAGGCUUUGGAUUGGGAAGAAGGGCAGCAAUGAGAUAUAGCUGUAGUCCAGGAAGAGUCAGGGAAGCAGAUAAUUUAGUUAAAGUGUCUCAGCCUAAUAAGGGAACUGGGCAGGUGAGGAUAACUAAAAAGGAGUGCUUAAAAGAGUAUUGUCUAAGUUGGCACCAGAGUUGAGGAGUUUUAAGAGGUUUAGAAGCCUGGCCGUCAAUACCCACAACAGUUAUGGAGGCAAGGGAAACAGGCCCUUGAAAAGAAGGUAAUGUGGAGUGGGUAGCCUCCGUAUUGAUUAAGAAGGGGACGGGCUUACCUUCCACUGUGAGAGUUACUGGAAGCUAGGCAUCCUUGAUGGUCUAGGGGGCUUCCGAGGCGAUUGGGCAGUGUCAGUCUUCAGCAACUAAGCCGAGAAGAUCUGGGAAGGAGUCAGUCAGAGAGCCUUGGGCCAGAAUUCCAGGGGCUCUGGGAGUGGCUGCCAGGUGAGUUGGACAGUCCGAUUUUCAGUGGGGUCCCACACAGAUGGGACGCGGCUUAGGAGGAAUCCUGGGCUGCAGGCAUUCCUUGGCCUGGGGGUCAGAUUUCUGGCACUUGUAGCAAGCUCCUGUGGGAGGAGGUUCUGGAGGAAUGCCUGGCAGCUGCGGUUCAGGCGUUUGGAAGUUCUUGUGUGCUGGAGAUGUGGCUGGGAUUUGUCUCACAGAGGAGGGAAUUUGAAGAAUCUCCAGGAGGGCCAGAGAGUAGACUUGGAUGCCACCCAGCCAGCAAUAGAGAAGUUGGGACCACCCAGCCAGGGACAAGGCCACACCUCAGCCAUCACCACCCACAAGCAACGCAGCAUGUAUGAGCUGGGACAGGACACCAGAAACUACCUCAUGAUUGCUCCGGAAGAAGCAGCUGCAGGUGCUCAGCCAUCUUUAUUUCCUGCCACCCCCAAACUAUGAAGACAGCAAAGCAGCCUGUGGAGAGGCUGCUCACAGAGGCAACCCCACCCUUACUUGGUGAUGGCACGUGGAACUCCACCUCCCAGGUGGAAAAUGGAAAAAUUGUUUCCUUCUCUGAUCUACUGCCUGAGCUGUCAUCAGGAUUUUGAGGACUGACUUAAUGAAUAAAAUAUAAAGGCUUAGCGUGAGCCUGGGAUAUGCAUGGUGGAAGAGAAUAAAUAGCCUUUUGUAUAUCAAAGAUACUUUCUGGGUAACCCAAUCUGAGAAAUAGCUACUUCAGCCACAUCUGCUGUUAGGGAAGGCUGAGAAAAUAGUGACUAUAAAAUGAAAUGAGGCUUGUAGGUGAACCACAUGAAAUCCUGUGAACCGGGGAGAAGUCACCAGCUAUUACAAUGGAGUCUAGCUAAGAAGGGGCACGUGGGGGUGGGGAGAUCGUGACCAAUCAACAGUGCAGCUUGAAAAUGUGGGUUUUCUCUUGGGAAGCUUCAUUCCCUGGGAAGGAAGAAGCUAUAACGAAACAGGAGCAAUGAAGCUUUGCCUGGAGAGGAUGCUGCUCACAUUUGCAUGUUAAAUGAACUGAGGCCUCUCCUGGCUCCCCUUGGAGGGCUCUCAGAGGCAGCUCUAGCCUCAGAGGGUCUCUUGCCCACAUCUUACUCUGGUUCAGAGCCCACAUCCCCAAAGAGAGCCUUGUACACAGCAGGUAUUCAAUCAAUAUUUGUAUUAAAUUGCAUUUUAAAAGCUGAUUACUUGAGUGACCCCUUCCCCUACCCACCCCCAAAGACUGUCCUCCAGUAUCUCUUUGUGCAUAUCCUGAAUUCAAGCUGCAGUGAGAGGCUUUAGCAAGAGAGAGAAAACCCACUCUAAAAGCUUCAUUUGCGACAAUUUCCAUUUUAUUUCUCACCACCACCAGCCUUUGGACGAACAGGUCCUAAAGAGCUAUGGAAACAGCAUCGUGGAAACAGCACGAUACAGUUAUUGAAUGACUGGUCUGGGCCAAGCAUUAUUCUCGGCGCUGGGGAUGCAGCAGGGGGCCUGGAUCAUACUCAAGGUCACUAGAUACUUGUUACAUGAGUGAAUGAAGUCAUUCAGUACUCAUUGGCUCCACUGGGCUCUGACUUGCUGGGCAUGACAAGCCCACCAGGGAGCCCUGGAUAUCCCUCCUCUUUCCAAGCAGCUGGGGAAGCUGGUUGCCCUGGAAACCUGUUUUAGGUGGCAGCAUCUUCCUCCAGGAGGUCGAGGUGUCUCCUGGACCUUAGAGACUCCAGGACACAGGACAGAGCUCUGAACUGUGGAGCCGGGAAACCUGGUUCCAGUCUCAGCCCAGAUUUACCAGCCGUAGACUUGGCCAAGUCACUCACAAAACCCAAAGGGUGAGGCAGAGCUGGCCCUGCCUGCAUGGCAGGGAGAUUUUGAGAAGCAUGAAGAGAGUCAGGAAGUGCCUGGGGAUCGAAUCCACCCAGCAGUGCAAGGCAUUGCUCUCCCAAUUCUCCAUUGGGAAAAAAAAAUCCAGACAAAGACAGUACAGAGAAUAUGGUAGCCAAUACUGCAGCAGUCACCACCCGGAAAAACAGACACUAAUAUAAUAACUUGUGAUUUUUGCUUCAUAUCUCUGUGGCAUAAAACCAUGACACAUAAAGUUUAUGUCCCCCUUUAACCAUUCCUCAAUGCUAUUCCCCUCCUCUCUCCCCCUCCUCAACGGCAACCACUGAUAUGUUCGCUCUAUUCUGUGCUUUUCAUAUUUUAAAUAUAUUGUUUAUGGGAAUGAUCAUAUAUAAGAAAUAUAUUAUACUGUUUGUUUUAAAAGUUUGCAUAAAUAAUAUCAAAGUAAAUUAUUUAAGUGUCCCCAGCAGUCCCUGUCCCCGUCCACCUUUCCCUCAGUUCUCUUCCAUCACAGUAAAGAAAACUGCCCAAACCUGGUCACCGCCCCUGGACUUUCGAAGUGGCUUCCUACUUGGGGUCCUGCUUCCAACAUUGGCCCUGUGAGUGACAAGGAUCUCAUUCCUUUUGUGCUCAAAGCUCUGGCCUCUCUCUCCCUCCUUGGCCUUGCCCAGCCCAGCCCCACCCCUGUCCUCAGAACCUCACACCUGUCGUUCCCCACCUGGGGUGCCCUUCCCGCUGGCUGGCCCCUCACCUCUCUCAGAUUUCUGCUCUAAUGACAGUAACUGGAGAGGCCUUGCCUGAAGUCCCCUCCUCUUUCUCCUUACCUUGCUUUUUGGUUAUGCAUCCUCCUCCUAAUUGCUUUAUUUAUUUAUGUGUUUAAUCACCAUCCUCUUACUUUUCUAAGGCUCGUCCUGAUUUUUUUCACAUCCUGGUAUCUGAGCCGGCAGUGAUUCUAUACCUGGCAGCAGCCUGUGCGGCAGAGCUGUGUGUAAAGGGGUCCAUGCAGAGCCCUGGGAGAAAGAAAAAUGAAGGGGAAAAGGUUGACCUGAGCUUUUUCACCUGGGGCUGGAAAGUGGACCAGAGCCUAUCAUUCCAACCUGCAGGUGCCUAAGGCCCAACAGAAAGUUCACCAGGAAAGACCAAGAGAAUUGGGGUGACCCUCCCACAGUAUCAGAGGGAAGGGGAGUGGGGAGGAGUACAGCAGUGCAGACCAGCCCCACAGGUGCUUAGCCAGGCCUUUGGUUCUGCCAGGGAAAGGAGGGUGCCUUCCACAGCAUGAAAACUACACCACGUCCCAAUGUGUCCGGGACCUGCCGCCAGCCGCCUGCACAGUAGUCAGGUGGAUGCCACCGGGAUACAGCCCACACUGACUCCUGACCCCAGGGGGUACAGCCCACGCUGACUCCUGACCCCAGGGGGUACAGCCCACGCUGACUCCUGACCCCAGGGGGUACAGCCCACAUUGACUCCUGACCCCGGGGGUUACAGCCCACACUGACUCCGGACCCCGGCGUGGGAGGGGCUGGCCCGAGAUGAAAUCUCGAAGGUGGGUCAGGCUAGGUCCUGGAGUCAGGGGAAGCGUGGGGUUCAGGCCAGGCCUGGGUUCUCCCUGAAGUGAGGCUGACUCUGAGCCUUUCUUGAAACCCCAAAUGUCACAGCAGUGCCCCGAAGGUAGGUGAGGCUCUGUUGCAGGGAAUGCUGAGGAAAAAGGGAACAUCAGGGAUUGGUCUGGCCUGAAGCCUGCACUCCCCUAAAUUAUACCCUGGUAUGAUUUGGGCUUGCCCUGGAGUUACCUCAACUAACCUGGGGUCCUUGGGGGAAACAGAGAUGGACAGGGUUGAUGUAUAUUUCGGGUUGAUUUGGACUCUAAGGAUUAUCCCAGCUCAGACCUCGCUCUCAAGGAAUAGGAGCCUGGCAUCUGUCUAUCACCCCCUUGGCCCUGGGUAUAGUCUGGAUGAGCAGAGGCACGCGUGUGGCCCCAAGAGUCCCACCCUCUGGCUCUCUCCUCCCAAGACAUUCUGGAGCCAUGACAUGUCUCCCAGGAAGGGAGAAUUAUUUUUGUCUGUGGCAUAAAUAAAGCCAGGAAUGAGUUCCAAUAAUCACAAGCACAUGCCAGCAUGUGGAGGCUACUCUGACAGCAGCAGAAGGUUCCAGCACUGCCUGCCCUGCUGGUCCUGGCUGCAGGGAGGUGACCGGGAUGGUCAGGGGUCGGGAGCAGGAGGGAGCCUCCAGGAUUUUAUUUAAAAUGAUCAGGUUUUUCAAACAAAUGGAAAAAUAAAAAAAUCUUGAAAACAAAUCUUUUAAAAAUUUACCCACUUCACUCCAGAUCUUAAGAAAUAAAAAUAAAACAUGACUAUUCCUCUAGAAUCCUGACCCAUACCAUACAACUCUCUUCCCAGAGGUCAUUGCCAACAUCGAUUUCUAUUUAUUUUUCUCAUGCUUGCUUUAAUAUUUCUACUAUAUAUGUAUGCAUCUAUAAAUAAACUCUAUGUGACAUUGUUUUGUGUUUUAAAAUCCUUUGACUUUUUACUGUACAUAUGAUUCUGCAACUUGCUUUUUAUUUUAGAAAAUUAGGGCA